rnacentral:rRNA from 1 species
AUUGAACGCUGGCGGCAGGCCUAACACAUGCAAGUCGAGCGGAGCGGCGGACGGGUGAGUAAUGCCUAGGACUCUGACUGGUAGUGGGGGAUAACGUUCGGUAACGGGCGCUAAUACUGCAUCCUCUCAGAUGAGCCUAGGCCGGAUUAGCUAGUUGGUGGGGUAAAGGCCUACCAAGGCGACGAUCCGUAUCUGGUCUGAGAGGAUGAUCAGUCACACUGGAACUGAGACACGGUCCAGACGCCUACGGGAGGCAGCAGUGGGGAAUAUUGGACAAUGGGCGCAAGCCUGAUGCAGCCAUGCCGCGUGUAUGAAGAAGGCCUUCGGGUUGUAAAGUACUUUCAGCGGGGAGGCGUUACCCGCAGAAGAAGCACCGGCUAACUCCGUGCCAGCAGCCGCGGUAAUUC